AGAGAGAUGGCUCAGCAGAUAAGAGCUCUGGUUUUCCAGAGCACUGGCUGAUCAUCCAGAGGACCAGGGUUCAAUUCCCUUUACCCUU
rnacentral:tRNA from 1 species